CAAUAGCGUAUAUUAAAGUUGUUGCGGUUAAAAAGCUCGUAGUUGAAAGGUGACAGGUUUUUAAUGUACUUCCUCCGGUCAACACAACGGCUUUGCACGCCCGCAGGCAGGUAAUGUAUGUUGCGUGCAUAUAUUUUCUCAUCACCUCGGUGUUGAAGAAUUUAUACUGUGCCAUCAUGUGUUCCUAUCUGUUGUGCUCUGUCGUGACCGUGUGUGAGGUCGCCUGUAUUGCACAUUUCACGGAUGAUAUCUUGACUGAAUCAUUCGGGUUAUGUGCCUGUUACUUUGAGGAAAUUAGAGUGUUCCAAGCAAUCAUCUGUUGUGCAUAUAGUAGCAUGGAAUAACAUCUCAUAACUUCAAUGUUGGUUGUUGGUUUACGGUGUUGAAGUGAUGAUGAAUAGAAACUGAUGGGGGCACUCGUACUUGACAGUCAGAGGUGGAAUUCUUGGAUUUGUCAAAGACGAACAACUGCGAAAGCAUUUGCCACGGAUGUUUUCAUUGA
rnacentral:rRNA from 1 species